CCUGGAAAGCAUCAGAUCAGACUGGUCGCGGUAUGAAAGUUACGAGAAGUUUCAAGCUCCUGAAGGUUUUCCCGUAAUAUAAAGACCCGAACAAAAAAAGAAAGAAUUGUUCAAAUAUUGAAAUGCUUCGGAGGUAUUCGAUCAAGGAACAAUAGGGAUGUUGAUAUUUAUUUGUCUUGCUCUGGUCUUGGCAGUUUCUACUCGAGCAG